rnacentral:lncRNA from 1 species
UCUCCUGACCUCGUGAUCCGCCCUCCUCGGCCUCCCAAAGUACUGGGAUUACAGGAGUGAGUCACCACGCCCGGCCGGAUUAUGGAUUUUUAAGAGGAAAACCACAGAGGAAGCCAAGCCACACUGCUAACUGAUGAGAGACCAGCUUGAAAGAGGGAGGACCUGCCAAUUGCCAUCAGCACAACUCCAGAUAUAUGGGAGUCAGGUGAUCAUAAACCAUCCAUUUUCUGCUGAGUCACAGUAGACUGCAACUCCAUGAAUGAGACAAGGAGGUGUCGGUAAAAACAAAACAAAACAAAACAAAGCAAAAACUGCCUGGUGUAACCACAGAAUCUUAAGAAAUAAUAAAUGAUUUUAAUCCAA